rnacentral:lncRNA from 1 species
UUGAAUGCUAUUUUUAUGGUUGAUGCCAAUGUUAGAGGGAUUCAAUGCAAUUAUAUCCCGGAUAUCUAAACUAGAAAAAGGAAAGUUUUGUUAGCCAAGCUAACCCCAAGUCAAAAUAAAGGAAAGUGAUCCAACUAUGUUCUUUCGGGACUGGGUCAAAGAAGAGUCGCAGAAUUCAAGACAGAAAGAAAUGGCAAUGACGUCAUAAAGAGAAAUUAUUAGAGUUAUUUAUUAAGAUUAUUUUAAUUAUUCGUUUGUUUAAUGAGUACGUGUGACUGGGUCAAAGAAAGGUCGCAGAACUCAAGAGGGAAAGAAAUGGCAAGUCAAAAAAGGUUCACAGAACUCAAGAGUAAAAGAAAUGGUAAUGACAUAAUAAAGAGAAAUUAUUAGAGUUAUUUUUUAGGAUUAUUUUAAUUAUUUUUUUGUUUAAAGAGUACGCAUGGAUAUUUAGGACUUUAGUGUUUAUAUUGUAUUAUCU